GUGUCAGCCGCCGCGGUAAUACGUAGGGAGCGAGCGUUGUCCGGAUUUAUUGGGCGUAAAGGGCGUGUAGGCGGCCUGUUAAGUCUGAAGUGAAAAUCCAGGGCUCAACCCUGGAACUGCUUCGGAUACUGAUGGGCUUGAGUGCUCUAGAGGGUAGUGGAAUUGCCGGUGUAGCAGUGAAAUGCGUAGAGAUCGGCAGGAACACCAGUGGCGAAGGCGACUGCCUGGGGAGUAACUGACGCUGAGGCGCGAAAGCUGGGGGAGCAAACGGGAUUAGAUACCCCGGUAGUCCCAGCCGUAAACGAUGAGUGCUAGGUGUAGCGGGUAUCGACCCCCGCUGUGCCGCAGUUAACGCAUUAAGCACUCCGCCUGGGGAGUACGGCCGCAAGGUUGAA
rnacentral:rRNA from 1 species